rnacentral:rRNA from 1 species
UACGUAGGGUGCGAGCGUUGUCCGGAAUUAUUGGGCUUAAAGGGCUCGUAGGCGGUCUGUCGCGUCGGGCGUGAAAACUCAGGGCUUAACCCUGAGCCUGCUUCCGAUACGGGCAGACUAGAGGUAUGCAGGGGAGAACGGAAUUCCUGGUGUAGCGGUGGAAUGCGCAGAUAUCAGGAGGAACACCGGUGGCGAAGGCGGUUCUCUGGGCAUUACCUGACGCUGAGGAGCGAAAGUGUGGGGAGCGAACAGG